rnacentral:rRNA from 1 species
GAUGAACGCUGGCGGCGUGCUUAACACAUGCAAGUCGAACGAAGAUGCCGGAGUGCUUGCACUUUGGCAGACUGAGUGGCGGACGGGUGAGUAACGCGUGGGUAACCUGCCUUAUACAGGGGGAUAACAGUUGGAAACGACUGCUAAUACCGCAUAAGCGCGACGGUAUCGCAUGAUACAGUGUGAAAAACUCCGGUGGUAUAAGAUGGACCCGCGUCUGAUUAGCCAGUUGGCAGGGUAACGGCCUACCAAAGCGACGAUCAGUAGCCGGCCUGAGAGGGUGAACGGCCACAUUGGGACUGAGACACGGCCCAAACUCCUACGGGAGGCAGCAGUGGGGAAUAUUGCACAAUGGGGGAAACCCUGAUGCAGCGACGCCGCGUGAGUGAAGAAGUAUUUCGGUAUGUAAAGCUCUAUCAGCAGGGAAGAAGAAAUGACGGUACCUGACUAAGAAGCCCCGGCUAACUACGUG